CGGGGUGUGGCGCAGUUGGUAGCGCGCACAGUUCGGGACUGUGAGGUCACAGGUUCAAAUCCUGUCACCCCGACCA
rnacentral:tRNA from 2 species